rnacentral:rRNA from 1 species
ACGCUCGACACUACGGGGGCAGCAGUUGGGAAUAUUGGACAAUGGAGGGAACUCUGAUCCAGUGACGCCGCGUGAAGGAAGAAGGUCUUCGGAUUGUAAACUUAUUUUAUCAGGGAAGAAAGAAAUGACAGUACCUGAAGAAGAAGGACCGGCUAACUACGUGCUAGCAGCCGCGGUAAUCUGAGCGGGCUGGCAAGGC